AGAGUUUGAUCAUGGCUCAGAUUGAACGCUGGCGGCAGGCCUAACACAUGCAAGUCGAGCGGUAGCACAGAGAGCUUGCUCUCGGGUGACGAGCGGCGGACGGGUGAGUAAUGUCUGGGAAACUGCCUGAUGGAGGGGGAUAACUACUGGAAACGGUAGCUAAUACCGCAUAACGUCGCAAGACCAAAGUGGGGGACCUUCGGGCCUCAUGCCAUCAGAUGUGCCCAGAUGGGAUUAGCUAGUAGGUGGGGUAACGGCUCACCUAGGCGACGAUCCCUAGCUGGUCUGAGAGGAUGACCAGCCACACUGGAACUGAGACACGGUCCAGACUCCUACGGGAGGCAGCAGUGGGGAAUAUUGCACAAUGGGCGCAAGCCUGAUGCAGCCAUGCCGCGUGUGUGAAGAAGGCCUUCGGGUUGUAAAGCACUUUCAGCGGGGAGGAAGGCGUUAAGGUUAAUAACCUCAUCGAUUGACGUUACCCGCAGAAGAAGCACCGGCUAACUCCGUGCCAGCAGCCGCGGUAAUACGGAGGGUACAAGCGUUAAUCGGAAUUACUGGGCGUAAAGCGCACGCAGGCGGUCUGUCAAGUCGGAUGUGAAAUCCCCGGGCUCAACCUGGGAACUGCAUUCGAAACUGGCAGGCUAGAGUCUUGUAGAGGGGGGUAGAAUUCCAGGUGUAGCGGUGAAAUGCGUAGAGAUCUGGAGGAAUACCGGUGGCGAAGGCGGCCCCCUGGACAAAGACUGACGCUCAGGUGCGAAAGCGUGGGGAGCAAACAGGAUUAGAUACCCUGGUAGUCCACGCCGUAAACGAUGUCGAUUUGGAGGUUGUGCCCUUGAGGCGUGGCUUCCGGAGCUAACGCGUUAAAUCGACCGCCUGGGGAGUACGGCCGCAAGGUUAAAACUCAAAUGAAUUGACGGGGGCCCGCACAAGCGGUGGAGCAUGUGGUUUAAUUCGAUGCAACGCGAAGAACCUUACCUGGUCUUGACAUCCACAGAACUUAGCAGAGAUGCUUUGGUGCCUUCGGGAACUGUGAGACAGGUGCUGCAUGGCUGUCGUCAGCUCGUGUUGUGAAAUGUUGGGUUAAGUCCCGCAACGAGCGCAACCCUUAUCCUUUGUUGCCAGCGGUCCGGCCGGGAACUCAAAGGAGACUGCCAGUGAUAAACUGGAGGAAGGUGGGGAUGACGUCAAGUCAUCAUGGCCCUUACGACCAGGGCUACACACGUGCUACAAUGGCAUAUACAAAGAGAAGCGACCUCGCGAGAGCAAGCGGACCUCAUAAAGUAUGUCGUAGUCCGGAUUGGAGUCUGCAACUCGACUCCAUGAAGUCGGAAUCGCUAGUAAUCGUAGAUCAGAAUGCUACGGUGAAUACGUUCCCGGGCCUUGUACACACCGCCCGUCACACCAUGGGAGUGGGUUGCAAAAGAAGUAGGUAGCUUAACCUUCGGGAGGGCGCUUACCACUUUGUGAUUCAUGACUGGGGUGAAGUCGUAACAAGGUAACCGUAGGGGAACCUGCGGUUGGAUCACCU
rnacentral:rRNA from 1 species